rnacentral:misc_RNA from 1 species
UACACACACAGAGGCACUCACCGCUG